rnacentral:rRNA from 1 species
GGGCAAGCGUUGUUCGGAAUUACUGGGCGUAAAGGGCUCGUAGGCGGCCAACUAAGUCAGACGUGAAAUCCCUCGGCUUAACCGGGGAACUGCGUCUGAUACUGGAUGGCUUGAAUCCGGGAGAGGGAUGCGGAAUUCCAGGUGUAGCGGUGAAAUGCGUAGAUAUCUGGAGGAACACCGGUGGCGAAGGCGGCAUCCUGGACCGGCAUUGACGCUGAGGAGCGAAAGCCAGGGGAGCAAACGGG